rnacentral:rRNA from 1 species
GACGAACGCUGGCUGCGUGCUUAACACAUGCAAGUCGAACGGAAAGGCCCUGCUUUUGUGGGUUGCUCGAGUGGCGAACGGGUGCGUAACACGUGAGUAACCUUCCCUUGACUUUGGGAUAACUUCAUGAAACUGGGGCUAAUACCGGAUAGGAGCUCCUGCUGCAUGGUGGGGGUUGGAAAGUUUCGGCGGUUGGGGAUGGACUCGCGGCUUAUCAGCUUGUUGGUGGGGUAGUGGCUUACCAAGGCUUUGACGGGUAGCCGGCCUGAGAGGGUGACCGGCCACAUUGGGACUGAGAUACGGCCCAGACUCCUACGGGAGGCAGCAGUGGGGAAUAUUGCACAAUGGGCGGAAGCCUGAUGCAGCAACGCCGCGUGCGGGAUGACGGCAUUCGGGUUGUAAACCGUUUUCGCCUGUGACGAAGCGUGAGUGACGGUAAUGGGUAAAGAAGCACCGACUAAAUACGUG